AUGGCUUCUCUCACAAGUAGUCCAUGGCUUCAUCUCCUACUGCUUCUCGUGGCCAUGGGCGGCACGUUCACUGCCGCCGCCGGCAGCGGCAACCCCACCGCCGGGUUCCAGAAGGUGCAUCUCGCGGACGGCGAUUUCCAGGUGCAGAGCCCGUACAACGGGCCGGAGAGCCAGCGGUUCCAGUACCGCAACGGUGUGCGGACGUUCUGGGUGCACCGAAACGACAAGCCCUUCAACACUGCCACACACACCAACCCACGCUCCGAAGUUAGGCUCCGGGGCCACGACUACUCGUCGGGCGUUUGGCAGUUCGAGGGCUAUGGCUACGUGCCGUCGGGGACCUCCGGCGUGUCGGUGAUACAGAUCCACAACGAGGAGGGCGCCGCGCACUCGACGGUGUUGAUGUGCAUGUCUAUGACGGCGUCCUGCGGUUCUAUAGCGGGGCGGCCGUCGAGUCUGACAUCUACGACCGGUGGUUCCGCCUCAACGUGA
rnacentral:rRNA from 1 species